GAUGAACGCUAGCGGCAGGCUUAAUACAUGCAAGUCGAGGGGUAACAUGGGUAGCAAUACCUGAUGACGACCGGCAAACGGGUGCGGAACACGUACGCAACCUUCCCAUAACUGGUGAAUAGCCCUCCGAAAGGAGGAUUAAUACACCGUAACAUAACGAAGAGGCAUCUCUUUGUUAUUAUAGCAGCAAUGCGGUUUUGGAUGGGCGUGCGCCUGAUUAGGUAGUUGGCGGGGUAACGGCCCACCAAGCCUACGAUCAGUAACUGGUGUGAGAGCACGACCAGUCACACGGGCACUGAGACACGGGCCUGACUCCUACGGGAGGCAGCAGUAAGGAAUAUUGGUCAAUGGACGAAAGUCUGAACCAGCCAUGCCGCGUGAAGGAUGAAGGCCCUCUGGGUUGUAAACUUCUUUUAUAGGGGACGAAAAAAGCUCAUUCUUGAGCACUUGACGGUACCCUAGGAAUAAGCACCGGCUAACUCCGUGCCAGCAGCCGCGGUAAAGU
rnacentral:rRNA from 1 species